ensembl:lncRNA
UAACCCAAGUUUGGGUUGAAAAUUGGUCUUGAUCAUAACCCAGCGGCGCUGGGUUGUGAACGCGGACGUGAAGGAGAGCACGCACGUCACGUUAAAAUCGUACGUCUCCAGUGCGAGAAGCCGCCAUUUUCUCAGCGUGAAAGAAGCGAGAAGCGAGUGAAAGACAUUACGACUUGUUGAGCUCGUGUCUUCAUUGUCCCCGCACUGAGAGUUAAAGACACUUGCUCUUGUGAGGAGUCACAGACUGUGUGAGGAGGAGGCGUGUUCUCAGCUUCUUCUGAAGAGAGGGAGAGACGGGUUUAAGAACUCAAACCAACUUUGGAGUUGUCUGAUUUGGAGAGUCAUCAUUCUUGGUCUUCCCUCUUAAGGGAAUAGUUCACACAAAAAAUCAUUUAGUUGCCCUCAUGUCAUUCCAAACCUAUACGACUUUUGUCUGUCUUUAGAAUACAAAUGAAUAUAUUUUGAAUUUUCUCAGAUUUUUGUUAAUCCAUUGAGAGUCUAGAUAGUCAGUAUUUUCAAACCUCAUAAAUACAGAGUUAUUGUAGAAGUAAUCCAUUCCGAUAUUUAUAUAUGAUUAAAUCUUAAAUUAUAUGAUAGCAAACACGUAUGUUCAAAAUAAAAUAUUGGUCUCCCAGACUUACAAUGGAGGACAAAAAUUAAUAGAAUAUUAAAUAUAUUUAUUUGUGUUCCAAAAAUUAGCAGAGUUUGUAUGAGUCUGGAACAACAUGGGGGAGUAAAUUAUGACCAUUUUCAUUUUUUGGUGGACUAACCCUUUGAAGAGCAGCCCUCAACGUACAUGAACAUUUGUGAGGCCACUGAUGACGAACAGGUGGUGACUGGGAUGAAUGCUGGUCAAAGAAGAGAAUGUCCUUUCCCCUAAACUGAUGCAACAGUGGUUUUAAAGGAGGACGCUGCCCUGGGUGAUGUAGAUGUCACAUGUGCUGAUGGGGCUUCUUCAUGACUACAUCAGUUAUGCUAAAGAGAUCAUGAAAGUUGACAGUGAUGCAUGAUCUGUAUUCAUGGACUGUGAAACAAACUGUAAGUGUAUAAUUUGUAAAAACAAAAUGUUAAAUGCUUGUUCUGUGUUGUUUAGUAAAAGAGUUUACACUCUGUCAUUCAUACACAUGCUCACAUUCUUUCACACACACACGCGCGCCUCUGUUAAAUGUUAUAAUGUUGUGGUUUAUUUGUGUACUGUAAUGCUAGAAUAGUUGGUAAAGAACUUAACUAAUUGUACAUUUAUUGUAUAAUAGUGUGUUCGUAUAUUUUUAUACAAUAUAUAAAAUUUACCAAAGUCCAAUUUGAUCUUAAAAGUUAUAUUCAACAAAUGUUCAAUGCUUUAUUUAUGAACUCUGUAGCUGUUAAUGCCAUACUUUUCUGCAUUUCUUCUUACAUGCAUGUUACUUUGACUUUUCUCUUGUUUUUAAAUAAAUAUUUACCUUUUGA